GAUUCCUACGGGGCGCAGCAGUGAGGAAUAUUGGUCAAUGGGCGGGAGCCUGAACCAGCCAAGCCGCGUGAGGGAAGAAGGUACAGCGUAUCGUAAACCUCUUUUGUCAGGGAACAAAGGCGGGGACUAGUCCCCGGAUGAGGGUACCUGAAGAAAAAGCAUCGGCUAACUCCGUGCCAGCAGCCGCGGUAAUACGGAGGAUGCGAGCGUUAUCCGGAUUUAUUGGGUUUAAAGGGUGCGUAGGCGGGCAUUUAAGCCGGCGGUCAAAUGUCGGGGCUCAACCCCGGCCUGCCGUCGGAACUGGG
rnacentral:rRNA from 1 species